UACGUAGGGGGCUAGCGUUGUCCGGAAUCAUUGGGCGUAAAGCGCGUGUAGGCGGUCCGGUAAGUCCGCUGUGAAAGUCGGGGGCUCAACCCUCGGAUGCCGGUGGAUACUGUCGGGCUUGAGUACGGAAGAGGCGAGUGGAAUUCCUGGUGUAGCGGUGAAAUGCGCAGAUAUCAGGAGGAACACCAAGUGCGAAGGCAGCUCGCUGGGACGUUACUGACGCUGAGACGCGAAAGCUAGGGGAGCAAACGGG
rnacentral:rRNA from 1 species